rnacentral:rRNA from 1 species
GAUCAUGGCUCAGAUUGAGCGCUGGCGGCAUGCCUUACACAUGCAAGUCGAACGGCAGCGGGCCUUCGGGGUGCCGGCGAGUGGCGAACGGGUGAGUAAUGCAUCGGAACGUGCCAUUGAGUGGGGGAUAACGUAGCGAAAGUUACGCUAAUACCGCAUAUUCUGUGGGCAGGAAAGCAGGGGACCGCAAGGCCUUGCGCUCUUUGAGCGGCCGAUGUCAGAUUAGCUAGUUGGUGAGGUAAAGGCUUACCAAGGCGACGAUCUGUAGCGGGUCUGAGAGGAUGAUCCGCCACACUGGAACUGAGACACGGUCCAGACUCCUACGGGAGGCAGCAGUGGGGAAUUUUGGACAAUGGGCGCAAGCCUGAUCCAGCCAUGCCGCGUGAGUGAAGAAGGCCUUCGGGUUGUAAAGCUCUUUCGGCCGGGAAGAAAUCGCAUGGGUUAAUACCCUGUGUGGAUGACGGUACCGGAAUAAGAAGCACCGGCUAACUACGUG